AAAAAAAGAAAAAAGAAAAGAAAAAAAAGAAAAAGGAAAAAUCCCAGUUUUCAGUUUUAUGUAAUUUCACUGUUCUGUUGGGCAGGUGACGAGCAAGACACGAAGGUGGAGACAGACCCAAAGUGAAGUGACUGCCUCUGGACCACUGAGCACAUUCCCAAGAUCAUCCACUUUGGGGAUCUCUCCAGCUGGGGCAGGGAUCCUGGGGUCCUGGAGAAGGGAAGGCCCUUUCCUAACCAGACCUGAUUUUUGGGAAGCAUCUCUCCAUAGCGCAUCAAGCCCCGAUGCUGUGCAACUGAUGCAGCAGGCAGGAUACCCUAAAAUUCCCUGAUCCAUCUCAGCCCCUUCUGGCCCAGCGGGGGCUGCUGGUGAUGCGUGGCCAGGGCCCAGGCGGUGCCCACGUCGCCAGGGAGGUGACAUCGCCCGUCACGCAAAUUUCAACAAGUGUCUUUUCAGCCAAAACAGAUUUCUCAAACAAAAUGUAAAUAUUCAUGUAAAAAUGUUGGUUUUGGUGGAGAUUCUCCUGAUCUUCUUGGAAAUGGCAAUCAAAAUAAUGUUUUUUUAAUUGCUUUUCUAAAAUACUUUUUUUUUCUUUCUUUCUUUUAAGUUUUUCGCUUCAACAACCCGAAAUUUAUUCCAUGGAAAAACUUCAGUGUCAAAAUUAUUUGGUCCGUGUGUUCGGGGAGUAGGCUGCCGUGCCCAGCCCCUUGCAGCACGAGGUCUUCUUAUGGGAGCGCUUCUGACCUGCUCCUGCCUUCAUCAGCAAGAACGCCGCCUUGCCCUAAAUAUACAUAACAAGCUGCGGAACUCGACUGGCUGCGAGAUAGGAGCCAUCAGUGGAUGUUGACAGCCUUGAUGUCUUGGCGGGCAGGAUCCAACAGCAUCUCCCACUGUAUGGCGCUAGAUAUUUAAUAAAGUAAAACCCCCAGGAUCAAGAAGGCUGCAAUCCCUCCCAGCUCCUUUCUUCUGCUUUGCUCGAGCUCUUUAAAGCCUGCCUCCCGUCUCUCUCCAGAAAAUCCUUUCAUGCCUCCCUCACCAGACUGACAUUUUGACAAGUUGCCACGAGUGACAUCUGAUUUGUACAAAUUUCAAGACUAAUAAAUCUACCUGUCAAAGCGGAAACUUUAAAAGGAGCUAAGCCCAGCGGGUAUAGUUUAACAGAACUCAAGUUGAUGAAACUGUAGGAUGGAGAAAUUAUAUCUGUCACAAUCCACCCACAUUAGUUCUGUAGAGAUGUUGGCAACUGAAACAAACGUCUUUCACAGCCCUGAAAAAAAAAAAAAAAAAAAAAAAAAAAAAAAAAAA